GCCGCCCAACAUCUAACCCAAACCAAUUUCUCCCCUCCCCCACACCAUUAAAUCAUUCUUAAUCUAAAGUAAAUGCGAUUGAAAAAGAGCUUGGAGUAAUAAAAAUAGUACCGCAAGGGAAAGAUGAAAUAGAAGUUAAAUAAAUAUUUAAGCCCAAAACAGCAAAGAUUACGACUUGUACCUUUUGCAUCAUGGUCUAACUAGUCCAACUAGGCAAAAAGAUUUUUAGUCUAACUCCCCGAAACUAAGUGAGCUACUCCGAGGUAACUUUAGAGUAAACCCGUCUCUGUAGCAAAAGAGUGGGACAACCCCCGAGUAGAGGUGAUAUACCUAUCGAACUUAGUGAUAGCUGGUUACUCAAGAAAAGAAUAUUAGUUCAAUUUUAAGAGGAUUCUAUCAGCCCAAUUUUAUUAAGCUCACCCCACCUCUUAAAACCUAUUCAAUAAGGGUACAGCCUUAUUGAAAAAGGAUACAACCUAGGAAUCAGGUUAAUGAUUUUGUUAAUACAGAACAAGUUGGCUUAAAAGCAGUCACCUUUUGAAUAGCGUCAUAGCUUUAUCUACAAUAUACCCUAAUACCAACCCCCCCACAGAACCCGACUUUGAUACUGAGUCAUUCUAUACCCCUAUAGCAGUGUUUAUGUUAGAACUAGUAACACAGAAUUUUCUUCUCUCAAUGUAAGUGUAAAUCAGAUUGAAUAAGUCACUGAUAAUUACCCAGCAAUGAAGCUAUUGUAGUAACGCCCCAAGAAAACCCUACAACCACUACCCCAUACAUCUGUUAACCUAACACAAGAACAUUAGAGAAAGAUUUAAAGACAAAGAAGGAACUCGGCAAAUCUAAGUCCCGCCUGUUUACCAAAAACAUCGCCUUUUGAAUAUUAUUUAAGGUAUUGCCUGCCCAGUGACCAUGUGUUCAACGGCCGCGGUAUUCUGACCGCGCGAAGGUAGCGUAAUCACUUGUUUUUUAAAUAAAGACUAGUAUGAAUGGCCGCACGAGGACUUAACUGUCUCCUUUGUCCAAUCAGUGAAACUGAUCUCCUCGUGCAGAAGCGAGGAUGACCCCAUUAGACGAGAAGACCCUAUGGAGCUUUAAACUUCAAUAUCAAUUAUUUUACUCAACCCCUCUUCGGAACUAAAAAUUAACCUAAUACACUUGAUAUAAGUUUUAGGUUGGGGCGACCAUGGAGAAAAAAAAAUCCUCCCUGAUGAUUCUAACCAAGAGCAACAGCUCUAAAUAUUAAGACACUUAACUCAUAUUGACCCACUUUGUGAUCAACGAACCAAGUUACCCUAGGGAUAACAGCGCAAUCCACUUCAAGAGUCCCUAUCGACAAGUGGGUUUACGACCUCGAUGUUGGAUCAGGGCAUCCAAG
rnacentral:rRNA from 1 species